UCGGGAAUUUUGUGCAAUGGGCGAAAGCCUGACACAGCAACGCCGCGUGAAGGAUGAAGUCCCUCGGGAUGUAAACUUCGUAAGAAUAGGAAGAAUAAAUGACGGUACUAUUUGUAAGGUCCGGCUAACUACGUGCCAGCAGCCGCGGUAAUACGGGGGGUGCAAGCGUUGUUCGGAUUUACUGGGCGUAAAGGGCGCGUAGGCGGCAAUUCAAGUCAUCUGUGAAAUCUCCGGGCUUAACUCGGAACGGUCAGAUGAUACUGCUUUGCUAGAGUGCAGAAGGGGCAAUCGGAAUUCUUGGUGUAGCGGUGAAAUGCGUAGAUAUCAAGAGGAACACCUGAGGUGAAGACGGGUUGCUGGGCUGACACUGACGCUGAGGCGCGAAAGCCAGGGGAGCAAA
rnacentral:rRNA from 1 species